UGCUACUGUUAUGAAUCGUAAUGUAAAUAUCUGAUAUGCAGGAUGUAUUUAGGUGACCCCUGUGAAAGGGUCGUUCGACUCCCAAAGGGGUCGCGACCCACAGGUUGAGAACUGCUGUAUUAGGUAGAUAUGCUACACCUCCCAACCUCUAGUCUAGUACAAAGAUUCAAAGCCUCCAGAGACCCACCUCUGCCUGCAGACUGACUGAAUUCAGUCCUGAGUAGCCUCAGGCUAUUGUCCACAGGUGGGGUGAGAGAGGUUUUCCAACAGGGUUGGGCAAUUGCUUCUGCCUGGAGGCUAAUUUUUGUUCUCAGUCUCUUAAUGGGCCUGAGAAACUCCACAAGGUUGGGCAACUGCCUCUCCCCAGUCAAAAAGAACCUGGAUAGCAAAGGUCUGAGAAAGAUAUCCUCCACAGCAUGCGGGAAUGACGCAGCACAGGAAACCAGGCCGCCUGCCUUCCGAGUUCCAACCCCACAGCCCUCAACCCUCGCUUAUGCUCACACAGCUCCAGUCCACUCUGCCCUCCCUCUGCUGGAAUCCAAGAUUUGCUGGGAAGCUGCUUUUGAGAACUCUUGAAUCUGAUCUUGUUUUCAUAGAGGACUAUUUUUUCAGCUGGAUUUGUACAAUUAACUCAUCUUGAGAAGUUAA